rnacentral:lncRNA from 1 species
GGUUACGUUUGCAGGCUACCUCUGUCAUUAUUCCCUUUAGCUCCUUUGCUUCCUGUAAAAAGCUGUGAGAGAAUACAGCCUGUCUGAUCUUGGCAGCCUCUUUGAUGGCCUGGUCACUGAGCUGGGGUCUUAGAGCUGAUGGCUGCCACAUGGGGAGUGGAAAGCCAUCUGGGUUCUGGGCCAGCUGGGCUCCCUGAUUUAAAACAACCUCAAGGAGCACGGUAGGUGGAGCUCAGGUACCACUUCACACUCUGCCGUUUAGAAGGAUGUGGGGCUGCUUUUAGGUGAUCCUUUCUAUGCAAAGAACUUGCCUCAGAGUUGAAACUCAUGCAGAUGUGAAUAAGUAUGAAGACAGAGCUAUUCUUGAGAGGAGGCUUUAGGCCCAUCCUGUCAGUGGGAGAGAUGCAAAGGUGCUUUGGAAGCUGCUUUUGGGAAGAUCUGGAGUCAUUCGAAGAAAACUACAAAAAUGAUAAAGCAUUUCUGAUUGGAUUUACCAUACCCUCCACUCUCUCAGGAACAAAAUUUCUACUGCAUUUUGAUUAUUCUGCCAAAUUACAGAUCUGCAAGCUUUGUGUCUUUAGGAGCUCUUUUUGUUUUACGUACAUGAACUCUGGAGUCAAAUUUUGGCUCAGGCACUUUUUGUAAUCUUGCACAGUGCACCUGCUAACAGCUCAAAGGAGAACACACACUGUCUCCUGCUGGACUGGCUAUUGAUUUGAUUCCCGCCUCUAAUUUUAUAUUGUUUUGCUGCCCUGUGGAUGAAGCAACUCUUUUACUGGAUGAAAUGAACAUGGAAGCCGUGAACGGAUGGCUUUUGGUUGUUGUGUUCAAGAGCCUAGAGGGCAACAGGCUCUUCACAGGAUAAGGACAGCUGGGCUGACAGUGGAUCCAAGCUUUUCUGUCCCAGUGUGCCUUGCUUUUCACUUUUAUCCACAUUGAAGGCAUUUCACUGUAUGGACCCUGCUAGAAAAUUGCAGAAAGAUCACUAGGAAUUCCCAACCUUGAAAUCAGAAGCUGGUAAUAUUCAACAACUACAAACACACACAAAUGGGAAUCCUGGAUUAAAGAUGGAGAUACACCAGUUUCCUCUCAGUCUAACCACCUCACCGUAACCAUCUCCAUGCUGCAAGGAAAGUUCCCUUUAUUCUUUGUAAUCCUGAGCACGUGAUUCUAGCUGAGAUGUUCUCCUUUCCUCUUCUCUGUCUUUAUCUGUUUUCAAUUAAAAUAAAAUGAGGCUACCUCAUUGCAUCAUGAAAAUUAUCAUUUAUGAAGGCCUUUCUUAUUACUUUAGUCUCUGGUGUGGCCAUAUCAUUUGAAUAUCAUUAUAAGUAAUGCUUCAAUUAUAGAAAAGACAAUUUUAUGGAUUCUUAUAGAAAAGGACAAAGACAAGGUCAAUAUUUUUUUCUGUGCAACAUUAUAUAUUUUAAGUAGAGCAAGUGCUAUUUGGGGAUAGUGAUAAUUAUAUUAUUGCAGAGUAAAUUAUAACCUGAGGUAGAUCUAAGAGAGAUUAUUGUUUGUCCCUGGUUCCUUUCCUAUUGCUACAACAAGUCAUUCUCUUUCUCUCUCUCUCUCUUUUUCUCUCUCAGCAUAUCUUGAUGAAAUUCACCAAGAUUCUAUCACUAGUACUCUUUUAUUCUUGCUUUGCACACAUUCCCUGAAUGAAAAGACCCAGUCAUAGCUCCCAUUAUCUAUAUACAGAAAACUCCUCCAGAUCUAUCAAUACCACUGAUUCCUCUGCUGAGCACCAGUCUCUACCUCUUUCUGAUAAACAUUUCCAAUUAGAUAGGUUGCAGGCACCUUAAUCUCAAUAUUGAACUCAUCAUCUUUACACUUAACUCCUCCUGAAUUCUUCAUCAGUAGCAAUGCUAGAUAUUAAGCCACUC